GAUGAACGCUGGCGGCGUGCCUAACACAUGCAAGUCGAACGGGAGCUCCUGGAUUCGUCUGGGGCGAGAGUGGCGAACGGGUGAGUAAUACGUGGGUGACCUGCCCCAAAGAGGGGAAUAACUGCUGGAAACGGUGGCUAAUACCCCAUGUGCUCGGUGGUUCGGUCCAUCGAGUAAAGCUUAGGCGCUUUGGGAGGGCCUGCGGCCCAUCAGGUAGUUGGUAGGGUAAUGGCCUACCAAGCCGAUGACGGGUAGGGACGUGAGAGCGUGAACCCCACACUGGCGACUGAGAUACGGCCGACACACCUACGGGUGGGCUG
rnacentral:rRNA from 1 species